UGCAGUGCUCAGCAUUACGUAAGAAUGGC
rnacentral:piRNA from 1 species